UAGCCUCAUCUUGAUAAAAACCCAGGAGUGUAUCUCAACGCUGACCAGCCUCCAUGCCUCAAGUUCAUGGUGACGGAAGCAGACAUCAGAAGACAGGAAGAAAGGGUCAAGGAGGUCAGAGAUCGCUUACAAAGGGUCAUGAAGGGUGACCCGGAAGCUAUACAAGGCCUGACGCUUUAGAACAGUCCUCUCCAGUGCCCCAAUGACCUCCCCUUAAAGAUGAAUUAGACUUUGCAGAAGAUGAUUGAAUCAGAUUGCCCCCCUUCUCUGCUCCUCCCUCAGUCAUCCACUGAAGAUGCAGUCUGGAAUCGUGCUCCCUUUGUGUGUCUGACCGCCCAGCAUCCUAGGUAACCAUGGCGACCCCUCAUCACCUGGCCAAUCCUUCAGCAUCUCGGUGGCGAGGGCAGAGAAACCAAAGCCUCCCACAAUGCAAUUGGUUCUGCCGUCGUCUCGGCGAUGACAAGAGAUGCCAGAAGGGUAUGUAGCAUCUCUCUGCUCCUACCGAUAUCAUCUUGAUGCCAUCAUCAUCAUCAUCUUCUCGUUCUUCUCUGCUUGAAUUCAGAGAUGCAUGCAUCCAAUAUCCCUCUUACUCUCUUCACCCACCUCAUCAUGCCAUAUUUUCAUGGCUAUCUCCCCAUCCCAAACAAUAUUUUUAUACUACUGUAAUGAGUUGUACAUAUGUUUCAGAUAGGUAAGGCAGAGGAUGUCACAUCUAGACAUGUGCACUUUUGCUUUAUUUGUAUAUAUUGCACCACUGCUAUUAUUGACAAGGUGUAAAGAAAAUGAUGUAGAAAGAUGCUCCAUUUGUUGAUUGUAGUUCCAACAGGGAAUGAAAUUUGCAAACCUAAGUAUAAAUGUCAGGAAACAGCAUUUAGUAUAUACAAAUGUCAAUUAAAAAUUACAAUUGAAUAUAAUAAAGUCUAGACUCAGAGAUAAUCAUUUUUUGUUCGUAUUGAAGUUGAUCAUCAUUACAUGUUUAUUUAUUCUUCAAAUACUCCAAUGCGAUAGAAAUAAUUCUUGUUGUAUUUAUAUCUUCAUGGUUUGCAUCUGUUAAUUAUCCCUUUCUGCAUGAUUAAACUUUUUUUUUUAAUCAAUUUCAGAUUUCAGUGUUUAAAACUGACCACAAAAUUUUUUCAUCCUAUGCAAACUAACAAAGUUUUCUGUUGAGUUCUUUGGCUUUAGUUAAAUGUUAACUUUGUUUUGUUGAUGAGUUCUUGCAAGUUGACCCUUUUGAGUUCAAAAGUUCAAUGAUAUUAAAUUAUUGUUCAUUGUGUUUAUUCAGUUCUCAUGUGUAGCUUAAGCUUUGAGUUUUCAAAUGUUUGGUUGUUUCAUCUUCGUUAUAUCUAUGAAAAUACAAACUCCAGUGAACUUAUUAGAUAUUUCUUUCAGUCACGGGCAAGUGCAGCACCAUAAAACCUACUAAGGAUGUCCUGUUGCCUUUGAAAAAAUCCAAACAAUACACAUACAUUAAUCCUUAAUUCUAUACACAAAGAUAUGAUAUCUUAUUCCAGAAUGAUAUGAAAGAUGGUUAGUCAUAAUUAGGUCUAGAUAUACAUAUAUGUGUUCAAUAAGAUUAACAAUUGAUGGUACCCAACAUUAUGUGAACAACUCCAGCAAUCACCUUUGCUGCCCAGAAAGAUAGGAAGACUACAUUUGAAUAAUUUCUUUCAACAUAAAGUCUAGAUUAUGUUAGUUUCCUUUUCUGCAAUUAUGUCAGCAACAAAAUUGUAUUCUGAUUCUGAGGUUGGGCUUAUAACUGCGGUAGUUGUUAUUUUCAUCUAAAAUACUCAAUAAUUGACAUUAAGAGAUAUGUAGUAUUCUACUCAUUCCAAUAGGUAUGAAGGUCAGUUUUUAAUCAUUUUUUUGUAAAUGAUGUUGACUUGAUACUGUCAGUACAUAUCCUAAUGUAAUGACCAUUGCGAUCAUGAUAUUAGUACUUUGCAUUUGGUAAUUCUAGAUACACUCAAUUUUGAAUUUCAAAAGAUUAAAAUCCAACUUAACUGUAGCAGGCAUUUUUUGAGAAUUUGGGAACUGUUUCUCAUCCAGAUUUUGGAAUUUCAUAUAGAAUUAGAAGUGUGUGUUAUUUUUUUAUACAUGUUUCUUGGGAUGUCAGAAGAAUAAAACCAAUUUACUAAUUUACUGUUUAGUGAGACAAUUCCCUGCUUGGGUCUCUAUUCAUUACAUGAUUAUUCUCAAGGGAAUGUCUUAUUUUCGUCAUCUCAAAUCUAUAUUUUUAUUCUUUUUGUUGUUAUCAAUAAAAUUCUGUAUAUUUUGCACACCCCUUGAGUGACUCAAGGCUAUCAAAAUCAAUCUGAUUUGAUGGCAUCUCAUAGUCUUAGUCCAUUUCAAAUAAGAUUUAUUUAUUACAAAACAUUUUGCAGCUCCCAUGAACUAUACACACCUGAUAUAUUGGAUUGGAAAUUCAUUGCAAAAGAACCAGAGUUGGAAUACAAAGUAUAAUCAUACUGCUUUAAAAAAUCAAUCUUAUUGUUUAAAGUGUCCUAAAAUUAUUUUUAAUUCAUCCUUAACUGCAUUAUUUUGAGAAUUCUAAACUUUGGGAAAUAAGACUAGGCCUAGUAAUUUUAUGAUUCCUUUCCUAUAUUUUUUUUGGGAAAAUAUUUUGCUGUUUUAAGUUUUAAUGAGCCACUCUAAAUUACAGGGAACUCCGAUAGAUAUAGAUCAAUUGUGAUGAUGAUCUGUCAAGCUCUAGAUUUAAUGUUGGAAUCACAAAUAAUUAAUUUGAAAUCUCAAAUGAUUUAAAUAGAAAUUUUAAAGCUUUAAAUUCAAAUCUUUAUGGUUUUUAAUCUUAAUCCAAUAUUCAGUUGGUUAUUCACCACAGCCAAUUUAUUUCAAAAUCCAUGAAAUUAUGAAUGCGGAAUGACUGUUCUUUACCUCUAAAUUUUUCACAGGAUUCAUUAAGUCAGUAAUUCCUCUAGUUUAUGAAAGAUUUGAAUGUGAUGACAUUUACUCUACUUUAAGAAACUUCACUGUAGGAAAAUGUCUGCUGACAUAACAAUAGCUGGAAUAAUGAUUUGAAUUUAAUUGAUGUAAAUUAUCUUAAUGAUUAAAAAAUAUGUAAAUCUAUGUUUGCAGAAUAAAAGUGCAUGAAACUGAAA